GAAAUGCGAUAAGUAAUGUGAAUUGCAGAAUUCAGUGAAUCAUCGAAUCUUUGAACGCACAUUGCGCCCGUCAGCAUUCUGGCGGGCAUGCCUGUUCGAGCGUCAUUUCAACCCUCGGGACCCCCCUUUCGCGGGGAGGGACCUGGCGUUGGGGAUCGGCCCGCCCCCCGCGGCGGCGCCGUCCCCGAAAUCUAGUGGCGGUCUCGCUGCAGCCUCCCCUGCGUAGUAGUUACAACCUCGCAUCGGAGCGCGGCGCGGCCACGCCGUAAAACCCCCGACUUUCUGAACGUUGACCUCGGAUCAGGUAGGAAUACCCGCUGAACUUAAGC
rnacentral:misc_RNA from 1 species